UCUGAUGUGAAAGCCCACGGCUCAACCGUGGAGGGUCAUUGGAAACUGGGGAACUUGAGUGCAGAAGAGGAAAGUGGAAUUCCAAGUGUAGCGGUGAAAUGCGUAGAGAUUUGGAGGAACACCAGUGGCGAAGGCGACUUUCUGGUCUGUAACUGACACUGAGGCGCGAAAGCGUGGGGAGCAAACAGGAUUAGAUACCC
rnacentral:rRNA from 1 species